AAAGUGGUGAAGUCAUUGGUGUCCUUGGCAAUAACUGAUUCAGUUGGAGUGAUGAGGACUACAGCCUUGUUGGAAUACAAUUUCUGAAGGAGGGAGAUGUGUGAAGAGAGAGAGUUGGAGGGAGAGAGAGAAGGAUUAUAGAUAAUUAUUUUUAGGAGUUGUGUUAUAAGGAAAAACAGAGAAAUGGGGUGGUUGCAGGAGGGAGGGUUAAGAGACAGAUUUGUUUUUCCUGAGCUGGGAGAUGUGACAGCAUGUUUGCCAACCUCCAGGAAGGGCUAGUAGAUGAGGGGAACCAUUUGUGCAGCGGUCACCUAUCUCUUCUUUUCCACCAGUCACAUCCUUGAAGAAGCCUGAAAGAUAGGCUUUGCAGAGGGACAUUAAUACUCAGUCCACUGGACAAGGGGGAAGACAAUGUAUAGGGCACAGGUGAUUCAGCCAACUCUGACUCUUGUGUUUUGUACAUACAGCAUUUCAGUCUUUCCAAGGUGAGUUGUAUGAGCCGCAUGUCAUCAUAGCUAUUGUUUUCCUAGUGAAGCGCCUCAUGGAGAAAGGUAGCAUUAGUAGUAAAACAGUCUCCAAAAUUUGCUUUACAAAAUAUGGUAGUUACUGCCACCCAGGAGAGGUCUUCCUCAUGGCUCUUUAAUUGAUGGAUGGUAAAUGACUGUCUCGCUACCUCUUGUUC
rnacentral:lncRNA from 1 species